rnacentral:rRNA from 1 species
AUAUCAAUAAGCGGAGGAAAAGAAACUAACAAGGAUUCCCCCAGUAACGGCGAGUGAAGAGGGAAAAGCUCAAUGUUAAAACCUGGUGUUCUCACACCCGGAUUGUAAACUAUGGUCACAAUUCCAGUGAUUACGGCGGGGUAAAGUGCUUUGGAAAAGGCCAUCACAGAGGGUGAAAAUCCCGUCUAACCGCGACUGUUUCAUGUUGAGGAUUGCGUUCCGAGAGUCAGGUUGUUUGGGAAUGCAGCCUAAAUCGGGUGGUAGAUCACAUCCAAAGCUAAAUAUUGGCGAGAGACCGAUAGCGAACAAGUACCGUGAGGGAAAGAUGAAAAGCACUUUGAAAAGAGAGUCAAACAGUACGUGAAAUUGCUGAAAGGGAAGCGUUUACAGCCAGGUAGUAACAGAGCGUGGUUUUGCUGGUGUGAUAAAGCCGAGAAGAUGACUUGUUAUUUUUUCGGUGUGAACAGCGGCGAGACUCGGUCUGGUGUGAUGGCUGUCAACGA